GGGGGGUGGAUUGCCAUGUGAUCGCGUGGACUCUAAAUCCACGUAGCCGGGUGCAACUCCCGGACUCCCCACCA
rnacentral:tRNA from 1 species